rnacentral:rRNA from 1 species
AACGAACGCUGGCGGCAGGCUUAACACAUGCCAGUCGAGCGAGACCUUCGGGUCUAGCGGCGGACGGGUGAGUAACGCGUGGGAACGUGCCCUUCUCUACGGAAUAGCCCCGGGAAACUGGGAGUAAUACCGUAUACGCCCUUUGGGGGAAAGAUUUAUCGGAGAAGGAUCGGCCCGCGUUGGAUUAGGUAGUUGGUGGGGUAAUGGCCCACCAAGCCGACGAUCCAUAGCUGGUUUGAGAGGAUGAUCAGCCACACUGGGACUGAGACACGGCCCAGACUCCUACGGGAGGCAGCAGUGGGGAAUCUUAGACAAUGGGGGCAACCCUGAUCUAGCCAUGCCGCGUGAGUGAUGAAGGCCUUAGGGUUGUAAAGCUCUUUCAGCUGGGAAGAUAAUGACGGUACCAGCAGAAGAAGCCCCGGCUAACUCCGUG